GUUUUCCUGGAGAUCCCUGCCUACUUCAUGCUUUCUGAGGGUUACAUGGAAAUACCUCCCAUCAGCAGAAUGAGUUCAGCUGCAGUCAGACUGUGGUUUCCGAAUUUAAGGGGAAAUGUUCUCCGUCUCUCUUGAUGCAGCUGUUCUAUUUUAAUAAAUGACUCCUCGUUGGCUUAAAUAGCACGUAGCAAUAACCCUCUGCAGGUUGGGUAUAGCUCGUGUUUGAGAAACACACUUGGGGGCCCUGUAAGGAAGGAAUGCCCUAGCUGAAAGCAGCUGUAACAGCCACUGAUUAGGCUGUUCUUUAUGGAGCUGAGAGUCUGCAGUUCACUCGCAGUUCUGAACAAAGUAAAACUGAAAUUUGAAUUGGAGGCUCCUGCAGCCCAGCAAGUGUCUAAUCAUCAAACUCUAAGGUAGAUAGAGAAAUCUCUGCGUUAUCAGUAGUAGUGAAAUCCUGUUCUGAGUUGAGUCGUCAGUUUAAAACUGCACCUCCUUUUCUAGAAACAAAGAAAUAACACUUCAGUGUGAUGUGCUGUACUUUUUCCCAGAACAACAACGAGAAAAGUAAAUAACGAUUUGCAUACCUGGUUCAUAAAGUGAAUUUAUCAAACUAUAUGUUAAAAUUUUCAUUGUCAUUUAUAGGCAAAAAAAAAAAAAAUCCUAACAAUCCAGAUUUCUGCUAUGCAGUAAUGAUCUUUUGGUAGAACAUAUAGUAGUCUUAGAAUGAUUGAGGCAGUAACUCCCACUUCAGUUUUUUUCUGGCGUCAGGGUCUGUUAAGCACUAAGAAAUACUAAUAGUCACCUAUUUAGAUGAUGAGCCCAUCUUGUUUCCAUAUCCUUGUAUCUAAUGUUGCAUGAGCUGGCAAUAGUCAUUUUAUUUGACUUGUUUUGACUCAAAGUGUUAUAAUUUGCCUCUGCAAACUGAAAAUAGAGAACACAGGAUUUGCGGAGGAGAGGUAAAAGAUGACAUUAAAUGAAUUAGCCCUAUUUUCAGAUCUAGCACUACUAACAUC
ensembl:lncRNA